UACGUAGGGGGCAAGCGUUGUCCGGAUUUACUGGGCGUAAAGGGCGCGUAGGCGGCCGAUCAAGUCAGCUGUGAAAUCUCCGAGCUUAACUCGGAACUGUCAGCUGAUACUGUUUUGCUAGAGUGCGGAAGGGGCAAUCGGAAUUCUUGGUGUAGCGGUGAAAUGCGUAGAUAUCAAGAGGAACACCUGAGGUGAAGACGGGUUGCUGGGCCGACACUGACGCUGAGUGCGCGAAAGCCAGGGGAGCAAACGGG
rnacentral:rRNA from 1 species